rnacentral:rRNA from 1 species
CAUGUAGGCGGUUACAUAAGUCUGAUGUGAAAUACUACAGCUUAACUGUGGGAACGCAUUGGAAACUGUGUGACUUGAAUCUGUGAGGGGUAACUGGAAUUCCUAGUGUAGGGGUGAAAUCUGUUGAUAUUAGGAAGAACACCGAUGGCGAAGGCAAGUUACUGGCACAUGAUUGACGCUGAGAUGCGAAAGCGUAGGGAGCGAACAGGAUUAGAUACCCUGGUAGUCC